GGGAUAGCCACUUGGCAGGACUCAUAAUCCUUUGGUCCACGGUUCAAGUCCGUGUGGGCCCACCA
rnacentral:tRNA from 1 species